GACGAGGUGGCCGAGUGGUGAAGGCGAUGGACUGCUAAUCC
rnacentral:tRNA from 1 species